UUGGUCAUCUGCGCGGUUGAAUUUAGUAUCUUUUCURUAUAAUGCUAAUAACUGACAAGACUAAGUGCAGCCCACGGAAAGCGGUAAAGUACUUUUGACAUAAACAAUAUACGUGGGAUURUCGUGACGCCGGAAAUUGGAAUCGUUAAUUGAUCUCUUAAAAUAGAAUCGCUGAUGACUAUCACUGCAAGUGAUAUAAGAAACAUAAGGUAUUUGAACACUACCAGCAAGUGCAGUCAAUCCGACCUGAACCGUUUAACGACAUAUCGCAUGAUCCACUGAACGAACCACUUCCCUGCAGUAUGUCUUCAAAAUCAACGCUCGGCCAACAAAAAAGACGGCAUUCCGGCUUUUCGAUUCCCUUGAUUUUGAUCGAAGAUUGGAGUGAGAUGAGCUAUGAAGAAUCUAUCGCUUCGUCACAGAAAAUCGUCCGAUUCAAGAACUUAGAGUCACUUUGUGCAUGUGAACGACAUGAAAUAAACCCACAUAAAAUGCUGCAAGACUGCUGUAAAGAAGCCUACCCUGACGUAUGAAAACUGACAGGAAUUCUGUGAAAUAUCUAUAAUCGUCCCAUUUUGCCAUUGAUCUAGUUUCCUCAAGAGGUUUUUUAACAAUGUAAAAACGCGUUUUGGGGUGAUUGGGACGAUUAUAUGAACACUGACAUCGGUUUCAUUUGACUAUAUGCAAAGAUAAUGACUAUUAGUCAAGAGUACCCGACGACCCAUUUUCCCAAAAUCGAUUGAUAUGAUGUACUAUGCACUCGCCAAGUCUUCCCACGCUAAUUAUGGUCAAUUAUUAACCAAACCAGAAUAGAAUUCACACUGCAGUCAUGAAAUACAUCUAGACCCCUUUGUUAGCACUCUAAACUGAACGUUAAAGAGCGCAUAAAAGAAUACGUGCACCUGUGGCAACAAACUAUUAGACAUGUUGAUGUAAAAAUGCAACGAAAUAUGUACUUGUAAAGACUUGUGCGCGGCAGCGGGAUUUUUUGCAAGAACUUUCUCCAACAAGAAAAAAUGAAUUAUUCCAGCGCAAGGACACUGGUGUCAACCCUAUGCAUAUCCUGCUUACAACAACUAAUGAUAUAUUCUGAUUUCUUACGUAAAUAAAUACUAUUCAAUUUGUAAA